ensembl:lncRNA
AAAAGAUUCAUCGCCCUUCCUGACUCUGCUUCACCGCAGUGUUUGAGAGCAGUGGUGGGGGGCAGCGAGGGGAAAAGGAAGACAUUAAUACACAACGAGAAGCUGAAACCAAAAGGCCAGCCCGUGCUGCAUGUUCCCACUUCUCGGCAACUGAAAGCAAAAAUAAAAAGUAUCUAUUCAUAGAGCCAACAGUGAAGAUGUUCAGAGCUAAUCCAUGACCUCUUCAAAAUCUUUAGUGGAGAUGCAGCACAAGAGGGCACAAGAAUUAAUUACAUUAAGAAGUUUUGACAGACCUUCUGCAAAAUUAAAACUGGUGAUUUCCAAGACUUUUUUACUCCCUGGACAUAUGCUAGUUUUUUCUUCUGGAUAAUUCCUUGACAAAAAGAAGGCCCUUCUGAGUAUAAUUUAAUAUCCGCAAAUUACCAUGGUGAGUGAGAAAAAAGUAAUGCCCACUACUCAAGUGGAUGCAGAGGAGAAGAAGGAGGGAGUAUGUGUCUGCCCCAUGGUGAUAAUGGAUUCUGCCCAAGAUGAGAUCUGCUGCUGCUUGUUGUGGAGAACCAUCUUCCCUGUGAAUCUGGAAGCAGUCUCUGAUUGCACAGAGCCACUAUGUAUUCCAUCCUCAUGCUUCCCUGGAGUAUAA